rnacentral:lncRNA from 1 species
CCAGUGCGCAGAGGUUUUAACAGUGACUUCCCGGGCUGUGUGAGCGGCGCGUGCGCGGGUAUCCUCAAGGGACCUGCGCAGAGUCUGGACAUUACUCUCAGGCCAACGAGGUGGGCAGGCCUGCUGCUAGGUGACCGAGUCCUCUUUGGCGGUUUUAAUUUCCCCAGCAACUUGCUCGCCUUCUGCUGUAGCUGAAUCUGGCGCGUAAGAUUCCUGGCGGCCCAGGCCCACACCAAGGUUUGUGCCCGGCCCAGCCAGAGUGAAGUUUGAAACGGAGACCUCUGCCGGAAGGAGCGGGUCGUUGGCAGGACAGCGGUUUGGCCUCCUUCCCCUCCGCCCUUGCACAGCCUGGGGCGGUGAGGAGGUAGGGGAGUGGACCUGUGCGAUCUGACCUCUGGGGCACUUGAACUCAGCUACGUACAUCCUACCCCUGGUAUUUCUUUUCAGCGCUGGUGGCGAUCAGAGCAAUUAGCAUGCGAGCCCUCGGGCUGUUCCUCCAGCUUCUGCCAGGAUUGGAGGGUUAAUGUGAGAUGGCACAGCAUAGGAGACUGAAGUGUGAAAGAAGUCAUAAGAAGGCUUCCUGAGGACUUUGAGGCAACAGAGUGUUGCGUUAAGACCUGACCAUGAGGCAUCAGGCCAUGCCUGCGGAGCCGUGGACAAACAUGAAGCAGUAGAACAGGUUUGAUAUGUCUCGCACUGUUGGUCACUUAGGGUGCAGAGUCAGGAACAGGAGAAACAGGUGCUCACCUAUGCACCCUUUAGUAUUCUCCGAGUCACGCCACAUAAAUAGCUUUCAGCAGCCAAGUGAGG